UUACAACCAUAUCACGGUGAAACACCGGUUACCGUAAGAUCACCGAAGUUAAGCAAUAUCGAGUCUGGUCAGUACUUAGGUGGUUGACCGCUUUGGAAUACCAAGUCG